GCAUAUCAAUAAGCGGAGGAAAAGAAACCAACAGGGAUUGCCCYUAGUMACGGCGAAGUGAAAGCGGCAACAGCUCAAAUUUGAAAUCUGGCGCAAGCCCGAGUUGUAAUUUGUAGAGGAKGCUUCAGGGCAGCGGCCGUUCUAAGUCUUUUGGAACAAGGCGUCACAGAGGGUGAGAAUCCCGUAUGCGACCGGCGCGCACCCGUCACGUAGCUCCUUCGACGAGUCGAGUUGUUUGGGAAUGCAGCUCUAAAUGGGAGGUAAAUUUCUUCUAAAGCUAAAUAUCGGCCAGAGACCGAUAGCGCACAAGUAGAGUGAUCGAAAGAUGAAAAGCACUUUGGAAAGAGAGUUAAACAGCACGUGAAAUUGUUGAAAGGGAAGCGCAUGCAACCAGACGUGCCGGCGGUGUUCCCCCGGUCUUCUGACCGGGCCACUCGCCGCCGGCAGGCCCGCAUCGCCUGGGUGCGUCGGAGAAAGGCGUGGGGAAUGUGGCUCCCUCGGGAGUGUUAUAGCCCCGCGCGCAAUACGACGCCGCCCGGGCGAGGUCCGCGCUCCGGCUAGGAUGCGGGCGUAAUGGUUGUCUGCGGCCCGUCUUGAAACACGGACCAAGGAGUCUAACAUCUAUGCGAGUGUUCGGGCAUCAAACCCUUACGCGCAAUGAAAGUGAACGGAGGUGGGAGCUUCGGCGCACCAUCGACCGAUCCUGAUGUCUUCGGAUGGAUUUGAGUAAGAGCAUAGCUGUUGGGACCCGAAAGAUGGUGAACUAUGCCUGAAUAGGGUGAAGCCAGAGGAAACUCUGGUGGAGGCUCGCAGCGGUUUCUGACGUGCAAAUCGAUCGUCAAAUUUGGGUAAUAGGGGGCGAAAGACUAAUCGAACCAUCUAGUAGCUGGUUCUGC
rnacentral:rRNA from 1 species